rnacentral:lncRNA from 1 species
CUCACGGUGAGGAGACACCUGCUGAGGGUAAUACAGCGGUCUCUACCUCUCCCCUAGAUGAUAGUGAGAACCAGCCCACUUUAGGAGAUUAGAUGGUCAAGUUCCUUAUUUGUGAUGUCUUAUUUUGUUUGUCUUGCUGUUUUGCUGUUUUAUAUUUUGUUAAUAAUAUAUAUGUCUGAGCAAAUUUAUUAAUUGUUAUCAUAUAAAUACUGCCAUACUACAUCUGUUG